UACGGAGGGGGCUAGCGUUGUUCGGAAUUACUGGGCGUAAAGCGCACGUAGGCGGCUUUGUAAGUUAGAGGUGAAAGCCCGGGGCUCAACUCCGGAAUUGCCUUUAAGACUGCAUCGCUAGAAUUGUGGAGAGGUGAGUGGAAUUCCGAGUGUAGAGGUGAAAUUCGUAGAUAUUCGGAAGAACACCAGUGGCGAAGGCGGCGACCUGGUCCUUUUACUGACGCUGAGGCGCGAAAGCGUGGGGAGCAAACAGG
rnacentral:rRNA from 1 species